GUAGGGAAUAUUGGGCAAUGGUCGGAAGACUGACCCAGCCAUGCCGCGUGCAGGAAGACGGCCCUCUGGGUUGUAAACUGCUUUUAUCUGGGAAGAAAACGGCCAUGCGUGGCAAAUUGCCGGUACCAGAUGAAUAAGCACCGGCUAACUCCGUGCCAGCAGCCGCGGUAAUACGGAGGGUGCGAGCGUUGUCCGGAUUUAUUGGGUUUAAAGGGUGCGUAGGCGGCUGAUUAAGUCAGCGGUGAAAGACUUCGGCUUAACCGGAGCAGUGCCGUUGAUACUGGUUGGCUUGAGUGUCGGAGGGGUACAUGGAAUUGAUGGUGUAGCGGUGAAAUGCAUAGAUACCAUCAGGAACACCGAUAGCGAAGGCAUUGUACUGGCCGACAACUGACGCUGAUGCACGAAAGUGUGGGGAUCGAACAGGAUUAGAAACCCGGGUAGUCC
rnacentral:rRNA from 1 species